CAAAACCGAAUUAUUAACAGUAGAACCAAAUCAAACCGACCAAAUGAGAUUGGGUUGGUUUGGUCCUCGGUUCUUUCAUGUUUUGUGCACCCUUAAUUUCGAUUCCAGCAUCCUCUCUCUGUCUCUCUCCUCCUUCGAACUUCCCUCUCUUUUCCGAUGGCCCGAUCUGUCUCUUCUCCCUACCCCGAUCACUACCCCAUUGUAUUUCGAUCUCCAGAGGUUUUUUGCUUUGUUCAAAUCGACUGUCGACAUCAGGAUUUGGUGGUGUAGCUUCACCUCUGAACUCGACCUAGAUCGAUGAUCGAUGUUUCCCGGCAGAUUUCUCCUCGAAGAACUCAGAUUUCCUCCAUUGGUAAAUCCCCCGACGAAUUCUGUUUUGUAUUUAUACGUAUCUAGUUACAUUAUCUGAAUACACAUUGCCAGUAUAGUGGAGAGAAAAAUAAAGUUACGAAUAGAUCAUUCAGGUGGUUGUAGCUCAAAUUAAAAUGUCUAAGCCUAUGUAGAUUGCGUUGUGACGUGAGUUUGGUCUAAUGAGGGAAUUGUUCUGAAGGUUCAAUCCAGUAUAGAACGCUAACAGUGGAGAUUGAGAUUGAAUUCAUGCAUUUUGUAUGUAUAUAUGUAAAUAUUUAGUAGGUGUGGGUGAAAGAAAGGAAAUUGGAUGGAGAGAGUGGAAUGAAGGUCAUUUGAUAGUGGUGGUGGCAGCAUGGUAGGCAUUCACUGAAGUGAGAUGAGGUGUAGGGGGACGUGAGUUGAGUUGGAGGUUGAGUGGUGGUGUGGAGGUGGCAAGGUGGAGAUAAGGUGGUGAUGGAGGCCAGAGUGGGAGGUCCCGUGACAAUCUCGUGGUGGAAGGGAUGUUGCGGAUGAGGGUAAAAAGGUAAUUAAUAUAGCUUGGGAGGGUAACAAUGUGGUUUUAACUUUUAUCUAUGCUCCGUUAAAUCUGUAUUAGUAAAAAACCACAAGAGAGGUCAGUGGAAUUUACCUUCGAAAAAAUAAGUGAUCUCGUGAUUGCACAACUAGGGGUGCACAUAGGUUGGUUGGUUCGGUUUUGAUUUAUGCACUACACAAACAGUGCCAAUCUAAAUAGAUUUCACAAAAUUCAACUGAAUACCGAACCAUCAUCUCUUGGGACCUACCUCAAACCUAACCAAUAAAUAUUAGUUCGGUUCAGUUUGAUAUUUAAAUGUUUCUACUUUUACCUUUUGAGAUACUUCACAAGACAAGUAACAGAAGGGUGAAAUAAAAGAGUGUCCAUUACAAGGUUCACAUCUUCAUGCAAAACAGAUAUCGUCAUUUGAGGAUUAGCACCAAUCUUUGUGGUAAUGAUGGUGGUAAACUAGUAGUGAGUAGUGACAACAUGUGGCCUUCAAUGGAAUGCCAUGGGUGUCUAUGUAGUUUUGAAGCUGAGGAGGAGUUGAGUUAUUUUCCAAGGAGAUCAUCCACAAUGAUUGUCUCAACCCAGUAUAGGAAUACAAAAUGGUUUGACAAUCAACACAGUAUAGGAAUACAACAAGUUUUACUUAAUGGGUUGAGUUCUCGGGUUGGUUCGGUUUGAAUAACCUUCAACAGAAAAACUGCAAGAAGGUUGGUUCUUUAAAUUUUGGAACAAUCAUUGAACUAAAACCUUAGGAAACAAACCCAAAUACAUGGGAUUCAGUUGGAUUCUCGGUUCUGGCUGGCCAUUAGUGCACCCCCUACCCAAACCUGCAUAUAUCUCAUGUCGUUGCCUUUUGAGGAAGAAAGAAAUAAAACAUAUAUUAUUGUCAAAAAUAAUACUUCUGUUUUUCAGUUCAACUGUAUGGUUUUAUGAAUGACACUUUUAAAAUCAAGGAUUUAUCGAUUUUUACUUUAUGAAAGGAAUUUAUAACUAUUUUUCUUUUUGUCUGGAUUGAUCAGAUUUUGCCUAAUUUCCCUCAAAUCAUUACAAAUUCUCCCCCUAUAUUCUGAAAGAAUUCUUUCACAGUUUCCCCUAUUAUUUUAUUUUUUCGAUCACAUUAUUUCAUUUGAAUUCAUACAAUGCAAAUUCAGUUAACCAAGAUGAAUCCGAUUUUGUAAAUUUCCCUGUAAAAUCAACAAAUUUUAAAACUAUGCUGAAGACUGUAUGAAAACAUUUCUUGUCACACUAUGCAGCUGAAACCCUACCUGCUAUGUGCGUGUCCCUUUUGUUGUGAUUUAACUACAUGUUUCCCCUAGUAGAAGAAAAAUAUGCACCGUGCUCAAUAAAAUACCCUAAUUUGAAUAAUGAUAAUUUCUCUACGUUAAAUUAUAUCUGAUCACAGGUAUAUAAUAUCUUAGUUAAGUCAUUUUUUGUGCAUGUAUAAAUACAUAGGUCAGAUAUUCCAAAAUUUUAGCUAGAUGAAUGGUUCCAGACCUCCAGUCUUUUAUAAUUCCAGCUGUAGUUAGCUUAUUAAGCUUGUGCUCUAUUCAGUGUUUGUCAACUCCUUUUAUAGUUGUCAUAAUGGAGUGCAAUUAUGUUAGCAUUACCCUCAUUGUGAUUGGCCAAAACAAUGGGGGGUGCUAUAAUUAAAGUAGUGGGAUUGUUUCAACCAAUCACGAUGAAAGUAAUGUUUGCACUCCUCAUAAUGAAACUCCUUUCUAGUUGAGAUAAUAGGGAUUGAAAUUGUAACAAAUAAGAUAAGUUCAAAUUUGUUUGAUCCUCGUGCAUCGUAAGGGAAAUGGAAAGGGAAAACCAAAUCUUUUACCUUGUAAAAUUGUAACCGAGAACUUCUCACAAGUGGUCAAGAAACUAGCUAGAAAAUACGAAAAGAGAAAGUAACAAGUAACAACUUUGUUUCCUAAUUUUCUGACAUGUUCAUUUCGUCAUGCUUUAUAGGUAUGAAGUAUGAAAAAAUGAACUUCUUCAUCUAAAGUUGAAUAGUUAGUUAAUUAGUCACAACAAGAUGUACCAUUAACGUUAAUGAGAUUACUGAUCUUAAAAUUUCAACUUAAAUUUUUCUCCAUCCACAUUGUCAUCAUCAUCUUCUUUAAGUGUUGGCUCUUUCUAUUGUGCAUCUCUCAAUCCCCAUUAAUGUUUUACUUUUUGUUCCGAACAGCUUAAGGUCAAUUUUGAUUUCAGUAAACUAAGGAGAUGCAGAAAGAGGAUCCAUUAUAAGAAUAGUAUAACAGAACAUUGUGACAUUGUGACUCGUCUUCGGUACAUUCAUACAAAGAGGCAUAAAGCAAGUAGAUGAUCAUGUUUCAUUUUGUU
rnacentral:lncRNA from 1 species